GAUAUAGGUCUGUAACAGUUUGGGUCCAGGGUGUCUCCCCCUUUUGAAGAGGGGGAUGACUGCGGCAGCUUUCCAAUCCUUGGGGAUCUCAGACUUUGGUAAUUGCACAGCAAUUAGCUGAGUUGGUGUCUGUUUCUUAUUUGACUUAUGUAAUAACAAUGUUGCUAUUGUAAAGAGUUACACAUGUAUAGGAACUUGAUGUCAAGUGUUACUGUAUUACCUUGUCUCACUCAUGAAAAUAUGUUAGUCAUUUUGAAGCUGCAAAAGUAAUCUACUCUAAUGUUGAGGUGAUUCCAUGUCCCUCAUGUAUUUUAAUUAUAGGUUCUAUAAAGAUGAACAUCUAAGAGCCAUCCAAACUAUGUGCUUAUGAUCAUAUAUUUAGACUGAUUCAACUAACUGUUAUAGUUUUUGGUACUUCAUCAAAUAUGUAGAUGCCAUCAAAUACUUUUUAGGUUUCAAGUAACUUGCGUAUAUUAAAAUACCUUAAAAUAUGAUUUGGUUUUCUGAGAGGUAUUCAAAAUCCUUUGAAAUAUGAUUGGGUUUUCUGAGAGGUAUUCAAAAUCCUUUGAAAUAUGAUUGGGUUUUCUGAGAGGUAUUCAAAAUCCUUUGAAAUAUGAUUGGGUUUUCUGAGAGGUAUUCAAAAUCCUUUGAAAUAUGAUUGGGUUUUCUGAGAGGUAUUCAAAAUCCUUUGAAAUAUGAUUGGGUUUUCUGAGAGGUAUUCAAAAUCCUUUGAAAUAUGAUUGGGUUUUCUGAGAGGUAUUCAAAAUCCUUUGAAAUAUGAUUGGGUUUUCUGAGAGGUAUUCAAAAUCCUUUGAAAUAUGAUUGGGUUUUCUGAGAGGUAUUCAAAAUCCUUUGAAAUAUGAUUGGGUUUUCUGAGACCUGUAUUUGAAAAUCAAAGAAAAUAGUUGACUUUUAGUUUAAACUCUAAACUUUCUUCUACCUUGAGUAUUUGGAAAGUUAUUUUCAAACUACAAAAUACAGCUGUUUUCUGCCCUGCUUUGGUAUUACAGUAGUGAGCUAUAAAGGAAUUAUUACUGUGCCGCUAAGCUCUGGUAUAAGCAGAGCAUGUUGAUGCAAAGCUACAGUAUGCUGUAGGUGGCACAGUAGGCCACAGAACAAAGAGUAUGCUUGAGCUGUUGGCUUGGUACUUGUAGUUACUGGGAUUUGAUUCAAAUAAUUUUGUCAUGUUGUCAUAUCUCAUAUUGUGUAUCCUCUCUAAGGGCUCUCAUGUUGACAGGCUCUGAAGUCCUAAUGGAUACAGAAAACGCAGUUACAUUUUAAUUGCACACAGGAUAGAGGGAAGUUGAAAUGGUAACACCGUAAUGUUGUGCAUCCUCC